rnacentral:rRNA from 1 species
CCUACGGGAGGCAGCAGUGAGGAAUAUUGGUCAAUGGGCGUGAGCCUGAACCAGCCAAGUCGCGUGAGGGAUGAAGGUUCUAUGGAUCGUAAACCUCUUUUAUAAGGGAAUAAAGUGCGGGACGUGUCCCGUUUUGUAUGUACCUUAUGAAUAAGGAUCGGCUAACUCCGUGCCAGCAGCCGCGGUAAUACGGAGGAUCCGAGCGUUAUCCGGAUUUAUUGGGUUUAAAGGGUGCGUAGGCGGCCUUUUAAGUCAGCGGUGAAAGUCUGUGGCUCAACCAUUGAAUUGCCGUUGAAACUGGGAGGCUUGAGUAUGUGUGAGGCAGGCGGAAUGCGUGGUGUAGCGGUGAAAUGCUUAGAUAUCACGCAGAACCCCGAUUGCGAAGGCAGCCUGCCAAGCCAUGACUGACGCUGAUGCACGAAAGCGUGGGUAUCAAACAGGAUUAGAUACCCCUGUAGUC